CAAUCUGGUUUUAGUUUACUUUCCAUUUCCUUUUCAGUGAACUUUACUAGCAAACAUGACAAACGUCAUUGAAGUGAAAGUCGAUAACAGCCCCCUUCUUGCACACAUACUACAACUCGCUUAAGAAAUUCAGCAUGAAGACGUCUUGCGUCAGAAUACCAAGCCUCCUAUCAAUAUCUCCUCUCAUGUUGGCUACAUCAACACUUCCAACAGCAGAGCCUUGGUGAAUUGACUUCCGUCUCAGCAUCGAUGUCGCUUAGCAACAAUUGGAUGAUGGGCGUCGACAAAUUAGGCCGGACAAGUCGCUCGAACUGAAACGAUCUGAUCCAACAGGUAGAGCAGGCAUUGCGUGACACGUCUGUUAAUGUGACUGACCUCGAUAUGUUGUUCUCAAAUAAUGUGAACCUUAGGCCUGGAGAGCAGUAUGCGAUUGACGCCAUUCAACAACAGUUGUUGUCGGCAAUUCUCGGGUUUGGGGUGGCGACUUCGGCGUCGGGACUCACUACAUCUCUGUCUAUGGCCCAGUCGCAGCAGCAGCAGCAGCAACAAGAACAAUAAAGCCGGUUCCUACAGGAUCCCAUGCAGUCAUAGAUCGGUACCCUGCUGAACAACAGGCUGUCUGGUAAGCUGGGCCCGGAUAGGUGCAGCCAGUCUAAAGCUGGGGCUCCACACUUUCCUGCCAAGUGGGCUGAUAUUACCUCUUCUACAAGGGACAUAUGUCAGUGAUGCGCAAAGAGCUGGUUUUCUGUUCACAGAGAAGUAUCCUAACAACUCCAACUCAGCCACUACAUCUCAAUAGACAACCCGAAUAUCAAGGCGUUAAGUUUCUUCUGGAUGCAGUUAAUCACAGCUUUCAAGCCAGCAGCUGUCGAUGUAUUGAGAUUCUCUCCUCUCCUUGUUACCUGACCUGCUGCCUGUGAACAUCCUCCACAUAGAACCUUUAUCCCAUUCGAUGUUAUUAAACCGGCCAAUCAAAAAGACAGCCUGUUACAGCACUUGUCAUUAGAUUGACGCCAUGCAUGCCUUUGAAGAUCAUUUAUACAUACAGUUUAAGCAUGAUAGUCAAUAAGUGCCUGCGUUGGCUUCUUAAACGACUCGCAGUCCUGAGCAUUUACUAUGGAAUUCCUCAUCUUGAAAUAUUGGGAAGGCAGGAAAACGCCUGUCACUGUUAAGACAAAAAUGAGGGAAUGACAAAGAACAAUAAGACCAGCCAAGUCUUGUGGCCAGCCAAGUCCUGUGAUAAGCCAAGUCUUGUGGCCAGCCAAGUCCUGUGAUAAGCCAAGUCUUGUGAUCAGACAAGUCUUGUGAUUAGCCAAGUCCUGUGAUAAGCCAAGUCCUGUGAUCAGCCAAGUCCUGUGAUAAGCCAAGUCCUGUGGCCAGACACGUCUUGUGAUCAGCCAAGCUUUGUGAUCAGCCAAGUCCUGUGAUAAGCCAAGUCUUGUGGCCAGCCAAGUCCUGUGAUCAGCCAAGUCCUGUGAUCAGCCAAGUCCUGUGAUCAGCCAAGUCCUGUAGCCAGACACGUCUUGUGAUCAGCCAAGUCAUGUGAUCAGCCAAGUUUUAGGAUCAGCUUAGUUCUUUGGCCAGCCAAGUCAUGUGACCAGUGAAGUGUUUUUACCAGUCAUGUCCUAUGACCAGCAGCUUUGUCUCGUGUGUACAGUCUGAUUGUAUGGGAAGAAAAAUCUACAUUUCAUAUUGUAUGGGCAUAAUGAUACUGACAGUAUCUUGAUGAUUAAGUAUUUUGUUAUAUAUUGGUAAAUAGACCAAUAUGAUAAGGGGAAACUCAGUAAUAGCAGUAAUUUAAAGUUUUAUUUCAAGAGCAAAAUAAUGCAAGUACUACUAUUUUGUCUGUAUUCAGAAACUGACUCUAUAUAGCUUUAUCCUGAUUAUCGUAAACAGACAGACAAAAUGAUUGUACAAUUGUUGUUUAUUUAAACAUUGAUUUUAAGCCUUCACAAAGUUGUUUAAAUAAUGCCGAUACCUUGGACAAUAGGUAAUGUAUUUAUUGUAUAAACAAGACAUGUUUAUUUUUAGUUUUUACCUAUAAAAUAGCAAUAUGUGCUAGGUAAAAUAAUUGAUCAGAACGGUUCAUAAUUGUGAUGCUUCUAUUCUGAUAUGUCUGUCAUUCUGUCUGUGUUCAUUUAUCAUCAGUUUGCUCUUUUGAUGCUGUAUUUUAUCAAGAAUUUCAUGUAGUGAUGUAAUAGUAAAAUAUCAAUUAAUUAUUUGAUUUAUUCAAACUAAAUUAACCUUCUGUUAAUUAUCAAUUUAUUUAUUGACAACAGAUACUUUGUUUAAUAUUAACAAUAGUUAAGCGCGUUAUAAAAAAUGUGUGAAUGUGCAUGCAUAAUAUUGUAUAAUUAAUGAAAACAUUAAUGGAAAAACAAUGUAAAUAAAGGAAAAUUUAGAAGUGCAUCUUAAUUGUAAUGGAGUUUGUUUAAUUUUUAAAAAAAGUAUGCUUUCAUUGUUGAAAAUAUGAUAGUAAUUCCUCCACAAGUAAUUUUAUUUCAAAGUGAGUAUUUUCAUGAAUAAUGAUCCUAGAUAUGGUUGUAGAUUGUUCUUGUUGUAUCAUAUACUGACAUGCUCAUCAUUUGUGUUGACAUUUGCAUUCUAGCAUUAAAAGUUCAUUAUGCUUUAAAUAUUUGUAUGUACACAUUUGCGACCAGCUUUUCUAAUGUAAUAAGUGAAUAACGUAACACAGAUUUAUGUGUCAAUGUAUAUAAGUUUAUUUUGUCAUUUGUAAAUAGAUCAACUGCAAAGCUAAUGUUUUUGUUUGUACAUUAUUCAUAAAAUUUCAAACAGAUACAUUCACUGUUUUAAUUCAUUUGUACAAAAUUGUUUCAUAUUAAACAUCAUUUACAUAUCAGGCAAUAGAGAAAAAGAAUUGCUUUGGAUGAAUGAGCACAUUAACCUGUAGAGUUAAUUAAGACAUGCAGAAUAUCAGAUUAUUAACAUAAUAAUAUACUUUAAGCAUUAGAAACACCUUGUUUUAUGUCAAGCUUUUCAGUUAAUAUAAUUAAGCAACUAUUAUCUGGAAAUUUGGAAAACAGUGAAGAACGAUUCAAGGGAGAGCAACUGUGAUAUACUAAAUAAAAGUCGUCUCCCUUGUUAGAGUAUAAUUGUACCUCUCAACGUAACAAGAACAUUGAAUCUUUUUUUAUUAUUCCACACUAUAAACUAUAUACUAUAUUCAUUCAGCAAUCACUAAAGAAAUACAUAAUUGUUUAUUUCUAUGCGUUAUACCAAAUUCUCCAGUAUGGCAUCAAUUAAAAUUCAUCAUAUUUUAAUUGCCAAAAUUGGCCAUACAGUGCUUAAAGUUUGGUAUUCUGACUAUUAUAAGUGCAUGUUCGCAUACAAUAUCACAUUGUAUUUUUUCACACUGAGGCAAUACGUGUUAAUAUAUUCAUUUUUAUUUAUUGACUUGUUGUUGCUUGUCAAGGUGUCUGAUUUUGAAUUAUAGCUGUUAAUUGAUUGUGACUAUUUCCAGUGUUGAAUGAUUGCUUUUAGGUUCUUGUUUACAAGUUUUGUAAAAGGUGUUUUCAUGUUGACCGCUCCACAUUAAAUGUCGUUUACGCGCAUUCACUGCGGCCAGGUUCCGUAAAACUCCCAACUCAUCUGAUGUCUUAUGAUUGGAUUCCAUACACACUUGUUUUUUUAUAUCAGCUUGCUUUGCAUUAAACAUGUCUGCUUUGUUGUUGAACAAUUAUACACAGCUUUUUAUUGGACAAAAUUGUGUAAUAUUUCAAAUUUUUGCUUUCGCUUUUUUAUUUCCAACAAAAUAUAUUUUGUUUUGUUUUUGUAUGUAUAUUUAGCUAUAAUAAAAUUGUUUCUAUAAUAUAUAAACAAUAUAUUAUAAGCAUUUAAAUAUAUUGGUAAAAGUAGAUUUAAGGUUCAAAAUCAUGUCUUAAUUUGUUUGAUUAUCCAAAAUUAACAUUUUGCAAAAGCAAAACUUGUUGAAGAAAAACUUUAUGCAACGUACCACCAGGUCUUUUAACCAUUGAUUGUGUAUCACUAAUGAUCAGGACUUAAUCAGGGAUUAAUAAUUGCCUAUGCACGGUUAUAAUGUUUGUGUUAUUGAAUUGAAUCAUUUCUGUAGUUUGGUGCACAUUAAUUGUUGUUGUUUUUUUAAGACAUAGCACAUGUCAUAUAAUAUAGUAUCGUUGUAGUUUUGGUAUGUUUAGGGAUAUAAUCAUGUUAAUGUAUGUGAUUUGCUGAUCAAUUUCUUGUUGUUUCACUCCAUUUUAUGUAUAUAGCCAUGCAUAGAGCAGGAAUAUUGCUGUACUGUGAAAAAAAUGUUGUUAUAGCAAAUAAAAAAUGUAUGUUAA